AUGGUAGAAUGGACUCAAGUACCGUCGGCGGACCGCUACUACCUGUUGGUGAUCUCUCAGGCCACCGGACAGACGUUCAACAUGACUUACACCAACUUCAGCACAGUGGUGCGAAACCUGCAUCCCUCCACCAACUACGACUGCUACGUCUACACGGUUAACAGCGCGGGUUUGGGAAGUAGAAGCAAAGUGAGGACCAUUACGACCUUGGUGGAACCUCCACUGAAUGUCAGGGCAAUACAGACUGGCCGGGGUACAGCGAGGAUAACGUGGGACCCGGUGAAGGACGUUCUGAUGUACCGAUGCGUGAUCCUGGACAUCGAUGAACCCAACAACAAGCCGUCUGUGUACAACGUCUCAGACACCAAGCUGGAUGUUCAUGGCAUCCUCCCAUGUUCCACCUAUCGGAUAUCAGUGUCCUCAUUCAACAAGUUCCUGGUGCCAAGCGAGUCCACUGACUACUUUUACACCACCAACAAGCUGACACCAGUUUCAUCGGUUACUGUGGACUACACCUGCACCACUCAGUCUGUCAUGGUGCAUUGGUCGGCCGUGUUCGGGGCCGACUCCUACAAAGCCACGGCGAUGAGCCAUAAUGGCACGGAGCUGACGUGCAGCAGCCAGACCACCAGCUGUCUGAUCACCGAACUGAGCUGUGGCGAGACCUACGUGGUCAACGUGACGCCCAUGUCAGAGAGCUGCAAGAACAUGUUGAACUCCACCUCGGCCACUUUUGAGACUGUUCCCUGUCCUCCCAAGAACCUGGAGUUGUUGCGAGAUUGUUCCAGUGAAGUCAUUGUUUUUUCCUGGGAACACACAAACAAUACCAAUUACUACAUUGCCAAGGCAGUGGACUCUCAGGUAUUGCAUUCUUUACUGAAAAAGUAUUUGCUGCCACAAUUGUCAGUGUUGAAUACAUUUAUUUGUAAAGAAAAUUAUCUCGAAUUAAAACUCUUUUUAUGUUCAACAUUUUGGGAAAUGUGCUUAUUCACUUUC
rnacentral:lncRNA from 15 species